GCUYYYGRAMGUUAGCGGCGGACGGGUGAGUAACACGUGGGCAACCUGCCCCUUAGACUGGGAUAACUCCGGGAAACCGGAGCUAAUACCGGAUAAUCCCUUUCUCCACCUGGAGAGAGGGUGAAAGAUGGCUUCGGCUAUCACUAGGGGAUGGGCCCGCGGCGCAUUAGCUAGUUGGUAAGGUAACGGCUUACCAAGGCAACGNNGCGUAGCCGACCUGAGAGGGUGAUCGGCCACACUGGGACUGAGACACGGCCCAGACUCCUACGGGAGGCAGCAGUAGGGAAUCUUCCGCAAUGGACGAAAGUCUGACGGAGCAACGCCGCGUGAGUGAGGAAGGCCUUCGGGUCGUAAAGCUCUG
rnacentral:rRNA from 1 species